AUUAUUAAUAUGUUGUUUUAAUAGGGGUCAAAACUUCAGUUUUUUUUAACAAUUGUCUCAUGAAUUCGUGGUAUAGCGUUACUUAAUAACAAUUAUAAACUGUAAAAUAUAAAUAUUUUGUAA
rnacentral:sRNA from 1 species